rnacentral:misc_RNA from 1 species
GGUGAAUUUGUGCAACAAUGGCGUGGAGAUCAAAUCUCUCUCGGAACCUGAAGGAGCUUCGCAUCCUCUUCUCUCCAUCCUCAUCUGAAAGUGCUGCGACUAGGGCGUUCAUUGAGAAGAAUUACAGAGAUCUCAAGACCCAAAACCCCAAAUUACCUAUUUUGAUUCGUGAGGCCAGUUCAAUCGAGCCUCAGCUCUGGGCGAGAUAUGACCUGGGAGUUGAAAGGGGCAUCAGACUGGAGGGAUUGACCGAGGAGCAAAUCUCAAAGGCACUUGAGGACCUUGGAAAAGUAGGGGCAUCCCUUAAAUCUUGAUGGCAUUGGAUCUGCAGAAUUGUAUUUCUUUGCAUUCAGCACUUUGUAGAGUUCUGUCCUCACAUUGUGCUUUCUAAAAUAAUCUUUUGGUGCAAGUUAUCAUGAAUCAAAAAACCGUUCAUAAACCUGGAAUCCUGGGUAUUUUGGCUUUUAUUUGCUGUUGAAAUGAAAAUGUUUGAAAUCG